AAUCCGCCUGAAGCUAUCGAUGUAUAUGUGAAUAUCCAUAAGGUAGUACGUAUGUCUCCCCGACAUAGACAGGU
rnacentral:sRNA from 1 species